UUUUAUGGAGAGUUUGAUCCUGGCUCAGGAUGAACGCUGGCGGCGUGCCUAAUACAUGCAAGUCGAGCGAACGGACGAGAAGCUUGCUUCUCUGAUGUUAGCGGCGGACGGGUGAGUAACACGUGGAUAACCUACCUAUAAGACUGGGAUAACUUCGGGAAACCGGAGCUAAUACCGGAUAAUAUUUUGAACCGCAUGGUUCAAAAGUAAAAGACGGUCUUGCUGUCACUUAUAGAUGGAUCCGCGCUGCAUUAGCUAGUUGGUAAGGUAACGGCUUACCAAGGCAACGAUGCAUAGCCGACCUGAGAGGGUGAUCGGCCACACUGGAACUGAGACACGGUCCAGACUCCUACGGGAGGCAGCAGUAGGGAAUCUUCCGCAAUGGGCGCAAGCCUGACGGAGCAACGCCGCGUGAGUGAUGAAGGUCUUCGGAUCGUAAAACUCUGUUAUUAGGGAAGAACAUAUGUGUAAGUAACUGUGCACAUCUUGACGGUACCUAAUCAG
rnacentral:rRNA from 1 species